UACGUAGGGUGCAAGCGUUGUCCGGAAUUAUUGGGCGUAAAGAGCUCGUAGGCGGCUUGUCGCGUCGGCUGUGAAAACCUGGGGCUCAACCCCGGGCCUGCAUUCGAUACGGGCAGACUAGAGUUCGGUAGGGGAGACUGGAAUUCCUGGUGUAGCGGUGAAAUGCGCAGAUAUCAGGAGGAACACCGGUGGCGAAGGCGGUUCUCUGGGCAUUACCUGACGCUGAGGAGCGAAAGCGUGGGGAGCGAACAGG
rnacentral:rRNA from 1 species